rnacentral:lncRNA from 1 species
UUAGUCACUAGAAAGUCAGAUGCCUGUCUCAUGACAAGGAGCCAAUCGGAAGUUAGCUGGUGGCGCUAUGCUUUACGACCCUGGGUGUGCUUUACGGACAAGCGCACAGCAAUGACGUAGAGAGCAUAGCAACCACCCUGGGAGGGGCUCGUCCGCGAUUUGCGACCACCCUUCACCUGAGUGGAUUCGAUCUUGGAGCACAUGGCACGGGAAAGGAGUUCUGCCAUGUGUCACGGGUUAGAAUGUGUUAUGUUGGAGUCCCCCGAGGCUGCUUUUCUGAACUCGAACCACUGCUGCAGCCCUUACAGCUGAGCCUGGCCCAUGUAGUUUAUAAUGUCAGACAGACUGCCAGAUCCGGACAGUGACCCAAAGUCUCCAAAGAAGAUUACGAGGCACCUCAGUUCCUGCACCUGGACCAGUGAGCGAGAUGCUCAGAUGUGAUACCUGCCGCCUGCCAGAACCUAGCCGAG